rnacentral:rRNA from 1 species
GACAGAGGCCUCAAGCGUUAGGCGGAAUCACUGGGCUUAAAGCGUGUGUAGGCGGACGCCUAAGUACCUUGUGAAAUCCCACGGCUCACCCGUGGAACUGCUGGGUAUACUGGGGUGUCUUGGGUCAUUCAGGGGCAACUGGAACAAGCGGUGGAGCGGUGAAAUGCGUAGAUAUCGCUUGGAACGCCGAAGGUGAAAACAGGUUGCUGGGGAUGCGCCGACGCUGAGACACGAAAGCCAGGGGAGCAAACGGG